rnacentral:misc_RNA from 1 species
AACGCACCUUGCACUCCUUGGUAUUCCGAGGAGUAUGCCUGUUUGAGUGUCAUUAAAUUCUCAAACCUCAUAGGCUUUAUUGACUAUUGAGGCUUUGGAUGUGGGAGUUGCUGGCUUUUCACGAAGUCAGCUCUCCUUAAAUACAUUAGUGGUUACUGUUCUCCACUUCUUGGUGUGAUAAUUAUCUACGCCAUAGUGAAGAAGUAAAGUGUAGCUGCUUUCUAACCGUCCAUUUACUUGGACAACUUGAACCAUUUGACCUCAAAUCAGGUAGGACUACCCGCUGAACUUAA